AAUCUCCUCACCGCUGCUCUGGGACACGCCUCUGUUGGAUUUAAUUUACAGUCAUCAGCCACAGCUUUCAGCGAUGGACUCGACGGUUGAUGAUGAAGCGAUGGCGGCGUGAAUGAAGGCCCAGUGAGGAGAAACGAUGCCCAAGGGUGGGUGUUCUAGAACCCCACAGCAGGAAGAGCGUUCCCUGAGCAGCGACAUGGUGGAGAAGCAGCCCGGGAAAAAGGACAAAGAUAAAGUUUCUCUAACCAAGACCCCAAAGCUGGACCGCAGUGAUGGUGGGAAGGAGGUGAGAGAGCGCGCACCCAAGAGGAAGCUGCCCUUCACCGCGGGGGCCAAUGGAGAGCAGAAGGACUCGGACACAGAUGCCUCCAGCUCAGUCCACGCCGUGGUACUGCAAGGCUGGUUCGCUCCUCGAAGCGCCAUGGCAUGAGAUGGAGGCUCCUAGAAGCAAGAAGAAAGAGAAGCAGGGUCCUGAGCGGAAGCGGAUCAGGAAGGAGCCCGUCACCCGCAAGGCCGGGCUGCUCUUCGGCAUGGGGCUGUCUGGGAUCCGCGCCGGCUACCCUCUCUCUGAGCGCCAGCAGGUGGCUCUGCUCAUGCAGAUGACGGCCGAGGAAUCCGCCAACAGCCCAGUGGACAUGACACCAAAGCACCCCUCUCAGUCAACAGUGUGUCAGAAGGGGACGCCCAACUCUGCCUCAAAAACCAAAGAUAAAGUGAACAAGAGGAACGAGCGUGGGGAGACCCGCCUGCACCGGGCGGCCAUCCGGGGGGACGCCCGGCGCAUCAAGGAGCUUAUCAGCGAGGGGGCAGACGUCAAUGUCAAGGACUUUGCGGGCUGGACGGCAUUGCAUGAGGCCUGUAACCGGGGCUACUAUGAUGUCGCGAAGCAGCUGCUGGCUGCAGGUGCGGAGGUGAACACCAAGGGCCUGGAUGAUGACACACCCUUGCACGAUGCUGCCAACAACGGGCACUACAAGGUGGUGAAACUGCUGCUUCGGUAUGGAGGGAACCCUCAGCAGAGCAACAGGAAGGGCGAGACACCGCUGAAGGUGGCCAGCUCCCCGACCAUGGUGAACCUGCUUCUGGGCAAGGGCACCUACACGUCUAGCGAGGAGAGCUCAGCUGAGAGCUCCGAGGAGGAGGAGGAAGACGCCCCGUCGUUCGCACCUUCCAGCUCGGUCGAUGGCAAUAACACAGACUCUGAGUUUGAGAAGGGCCUAAAGCACAAGGCCAAGAAUCCAGAGCCGCAGAAAACCGUGACCCCGGUCAAGGACGAGUAUGAGUUUGACGAGGAUGACGAGCAGGACAGAACCCCCCCAGUGGACGACAAACACUUACUGAAAAAGGACUACAGAAGAGAAGCCAAGUCAAAUAGUUUUAUUUCUAUUCCCAAAAUGGAAGUGAAAAGCUACACUAAAAACAGCACGAUUGCACCAAAGAAGGCGUCUCAUCGCAUCCUGUCAGAUACGUCUGAUGAAGAGGACGUCGGCGUCGCCGUGGGGGCAGGGGAGAAGCUGAGACUCUCAGCCCACACCAUGCUGCCCGGCAACAAGACCCGGGAACCUUCGAACUGCAAGCAGCAGAAGGAAAGAAAUAAAGUGAAAAAGAAGCGAAAGAAAGAAAUAAAGGGCAAAGAAGUGCGGUUUGGGAAGAGGGGCGACACGUUCUGCUCGUCCGAGUCUGAGAGCGAGUCCUCGGAAAGUGGUGAGGAUGGCGGGGACUCGGUGGGCAGCCCAGGCUGCCUCAAGGAGUCCCCACUGGUGCUGAAGGACCCCGCCCUGUUCAGCUCCCUGUCCGCCUCCUCCACCUCAUCCCACGGCAGCUCUACCGCCCAGAAGCAUAAUACCGGCCAUGCAGACCCACACGCCAAACACUGGCGGACAGACAAUUGGAAAACCAUUUCCUCUCCUGCCUGGUCCGAGGUCAGCUCCUUAUCAGACUCCACCAGGACAAGACUGAGCAGUGAGUCUGAUGGCUCCUCUGAAGGCUCCAGCGUGGAGUCACUGAAGCCAGUCAGGAAGAGACAGGAGCACAAAAAGAGGGCUGGCCUGCAGGGCACGCUACCCGACAGGAAGAACUCCUUCCACCCGAGCGGGGAUGGUGCCAUCCCCAAGCUGGACAAGGAGGGCAAAGUCAUCAAGAAACACAAGACUAAACAUAAACACAAAAGCAAGGAGAAGGGGUUGUGCUCUGUCAGCCAGGAACUGAAGCUGAAGAGCUUUACCUACGAGUACGAGGACUCGAAGCAGAGGGCGGACAAGGCCAUCCUCCUGGACGACGUGCCCGCUGAGAACAAGCUGAAGGGCCUGAAGCAUGAGAGAGACCACUGCAAGAAAGAGGAGAAGCUCAGCAAGAUGAAGUCAGAAGAAAAAGACUGGCUCUUUAAGGACGAGAUGAUCAAGGUCUCCAGAGAGGAGAAGUCGCUGAAGAGAAUCAGGGACCUGAACAAGGACGGGGGCAGGGCCUUCCGGGAGGAGAAGGACCGUUCAAACAAGGCCGAGAAGGAGAGGCUGCUGAAGGAAAAGUCUCCUAAAGAGGAGAAGCUGCGGCUCUACAAAGAGGAAAGAAAGAAGAAGUCCAAAGACAGGCCCUCAAAGUUAGAGAAAAAGAAUGACUUUAAGGAUGAAAAAAUUCCCAAAGAGAAGGAGAAGAUCUUCAAGGAGGAUAAAGAAAAACUCAGAAAAGAAAAAGGGUAUCGGGAGGACUCUGCUUUUGACGAGUACUGUAACAAAAGUCAGUUUCUGGAAAACGAAGACACCAAGUUCAGUCUCUCUGACGACCAGCAGGAUCGCUGGUUCUCAGACCUGUCAGAUUCCUCCUUCGAUUUCAAAGGGGAAGACAGCUGGGACUCCCCAGUGACAGACUACAGGGACAUGAAGAGCGACUCUGUGGCCAGGCUGAUCCUGGAGACAGUGAAGGAGGACAGCAAGGAGAAGAGGCGGGAGAGCAAGGCCCGGGAGAAGCGCGGGGACAGGGACAUUUUCUCUCGGAAAAAGGACAGGGAUGGCCUGGAGCGGCGGCGAGAGCACGUGGCCGACAGGCACAGGGCCGUCCCCAGCUUUCUCUGCGAGAAGGACAAACGGCGGCGCGAGUCCACAGAGGGCGGCCGGGACCGGAAGGAGCCCCCUGAGGCUGCUAAGGAGCGGAGAGACGGGCGCGUGAAGCCCGAGGAGGUGCACAGGGAGGACCUGAAGGAGUAUGGCUGUGACUUUGGGAAGAGCCUGGAGCCCUGGGAGAGGCACCACCCGGGGAGAGAGAAGGAGAAGAAGGAGAAGCUGAAGCUGGAGAAGCACAAGGAGAAGCCCAGCGACAAGGACAAAAGUGAGAAACUCAUCCUGGAGAAAUGUCAGAGGGACAGAGAGUUUGAUAAGUGUUUUAAAGAGAAAAAGGAUGCCAAGGAAAAGCAUAAAGACAUGCACAGCAAAGACAAGGAGAGGAAGGCGUCCCUUGACCAAGGCAGAGACAAACGGGAGAAGGCCUUCCCUGGAAUCCUCUCCGAGGACUUCUCCGAAAAAAAAGACGAGAAAAAGGGCAAAGAGAAGAGCUGGUAUAUUGCAGAUAUCUUCACAGAUGAAAGUGAAGAUGAAAAAGAUGACUACACAGCAAGCGGAUUCAAAGUCGGGGAAGCGAGUGAGGGGCGGGGGGAUGGCCCCCCCGAGAGAGAGGACGGGCGGGAGGUGCACCCCCCUGACCGGCACCGGAAGCACUCAGCCGACAGGCAAGCCCAUGCUGAGAAGCAGAAGGACAAAGAGAUGAGGGAGAAGAAGAAGGAGAAGGGGGCCGCGGACGGGGGGAAGGACAGGAGGGAGAAGACCUUCGAGAAGCACAAGGAGAAGAAGGACAGGAAGGACCGCACGUCUGUGGACGCCGUGCAGGACAAGAGGGGCAAGCAGAAGCUACCUGAGAAGGGGGAGAAGAGGCCCCCUGGGGAGGACAAGGCCAAGGCCAGGCACCGGGAGAGGCCGGACCGUGAGCAGGGCCGCGAGAGGAGGGCCAGCAAGGGCGCUGAGGCGGAGAGGAGCCUGCUGGAGCGGCUGGAGGAGGCGGCCCUGCAGGACUUCCGCGAGGACUCCCACGACAAGGCCAGCGAGGCGUCCUCCGACGGCUUCCCCGACCGCGUCCAGGACCCCAGCCUCAGCGCCCUCCUGGACGUGUCCUUCCCAGAGCCCCCAGAGGAGCGGGUGCGGGAGAGGGAGCGGCACCGGCACGCCUCGUCCUCCUCCAAGAAGAGCCACGAUCGAGAGCGGGCUAAGAAGGACAAGCUCGAGAAGAAGGAUAAGAGCGACGACUACAAGGACGCAGGCAGCCGGAAGGAUGCCGGCCAGUACGAGAAGGAGCUCUUGGACAGCGACGCUUACGGUGCCUCCUACGGCUCCAAGGCUGACGCAGAGGAUGAGCUGGAUAAAGCCCUCGAGUUGUUUUCUACUGAAAAGAAGGAGAAAAAUGAUCCUGAACGAGAGCCCCCCAAGAAGGUGGAGAAGGAGCUGCGGCCUUUCGGCUCCAGCGCCCUCAACCUCCUGAAGGAGAAGCGGCGGCGGGAAAAGCACCGCGAGCGGUGGCGAGAGGACAAGGAGCGGCACCGGCACCAUCGUGAGGAGCCCAAGCCCCCGGCCAGGGACACUGCCCCCAGCGCCUUCCGAGACAAGGCCAAGGACGAGGGUGGGAAGCUCGGCGAGGCCAGGCUGAAGGAGAAGACCAAGGAGAAUCCCGAGAAGGAGAAGGGAGACCCCGCGAAGCUCAGCAAUGGAAAUGACAAGCUGCUCCCGGCCAGAGACCCGGGCAAGAAAGACGUGCGGCCCCGGGAGAAGCUUCUGGGCGACGGGGACCUGAUGAUGACCAGCUUUGAGCGGAUGCUGUCCCAGAAGGACCUGGAGAUUGAGGAGCGGCACAAGCGGCACAAGGAGAGGAUGAGGCAGAUGGAGAAGCUGCGGCACCGCUCCGGGGACCCCAAGCUCAAGGAGAAGGCGCGGCCCGCAGAGGACGCACGCAAGAAGAGUCUGGAUGGACCGCCCAAGAAGCCACCUGGGCCCGACCUCACCCCAAAGGACAGAAAACCAAAGGAGUCUGUUCCUCCUGCCCCCGCCACUGAGAACAAGCCCCACCCGGGACUAGGAGUAGACCCCCGGGACUGGCUGGCAGGACCCCACAUGAAAGAGGUCUUGCCUGCGUCCCCCAGGCCCGACCAUGGCCGGCCCACUGGGGUCCCCACCCCCGCCUCGGUGGUGUCCUGCCCCAGCUACGAGGAGGCCAUGCACACGCCCCGGACCCCGUCCUGCAGCGCUGAUGACUACCCCGACCUCAUGUUCGACUGCACGGACCCCCAGCCGAUGUCCAGCACCUCUGCCAGCGCCUGCUCACCCUCUUUCUUUGACAGGUUCUCUGUGGCCACAAGUGGGAUUUCAGAGACCCCAGGCCAGACACCAACGAGGCCACUGUGCACGAACCUUUAUCGCUCGGUCUCCGUGGACGUCAGGAGGACCCCUGAGGAGGAGUUUGGCCUCGGGGACAAGCUGUUCAGACAGCAGAGCGUCCCCGCUGCUCCCAGCUACGGUUCACCAGGACAGCACCCUGAGGACAAGGCCCCUGGCCCUCCAGCACCCGCGGAGAAGUUCGCCUGCCUGUCUCCAGGGUAUUACUCCCCGGACUACGGCAUGCCCUCCCCCAAAGUCGACACCUUGCACUGCCCGCCUGCGGCCACAGUCAACCUCACCCCCUCCCCAGAGGGCGCCUUUGCUGGUUUACAAGCCAAGUCCCCCCCUUCACAUAGAGAUGAGCUUUUGGCCCCGUCCAUGGAGGGGGCCCUCCCCCCUGACCUUGGCAUCCCCCUGGAUGCCACGGAGGACCAGCAGGCCACUGCAGCCAUCAUCCCCCCGGAGCCCAGCUUCCUGGAGCCCCUGGAUGAGGGCCCCUUCAGCACGGUCAUCACGGAGGAACCGGUCGAAUGGGCGCACCCUGCUGCUGCAGAGCAGGGCCUGCCCCCCGCCCUUAUUGGGGGCACUCCUGGUGACACGGCCAGCUGGCCUGUGGGGUCGGACCUCCUCCUCAAGUCCCCACAGAGGUUCCCAGAGUCCCCGAAACAGUUCUGCCCUGCCGACUCACUCCAUCCCGAGCCCCCUUACCCGGCAUCCCCCGUCUCAUACCCUCUGCCGGUCCCCGAGCCGGGACUGGAAGCUAAGGACAAGGCCGAGGGAACAGUCCCAGCCACCGUCUCUGCUUCUGAGGAGUCGGCCCCGUUCGCCACUCCCUCCCGGCUGGAGUCCUUCUUCAGUAACUGCAAGUCCCUUCCUGACGCGCCCCCUGAUGCGCCCCCAGAGCCUGCGUGUGUGACAGCCGUGGCUCAGGUGGAGGCACUGGGGCCCCUGGAGAAUAAUUUCCUGGAAGGUGGUCACAACCUGUCGGCACUCGGCCCGGUGGAGCCGGUGCCCUGGCCCGGUGCCUUCCCCGCUGCCGAGGAUGACCUCGACCUGGGGCCUUUCUCACUGCCAGAGCUCCCUCUCCAGACUAAGGAUGUUCCCGACGUGGAAGCAGAGCCUGUGGAAGAGAGUCCUCUCGUUCCUCCAGAGAAUACCCCCUUGGGGGCCCCUGUGCUCCCAGGCAGUGGGGAGGCUGCUGGGGCAGCUGCUGACCAACAGCUGGUGUCGCCUCCUGACCAGGCGGCCACCCGGCUCCCCACCGAAGCCGCGCCGGAGCCCCCAGAGGAGCCAAAGCCAGCAGCACUGCCUGAGGCCACAGCAGAGGGAGGGUCCGGGCCAGAGGGGAGAGCCCCUGAGGACUCCCACCCUGGCUCAGGGCUCACACCAGCCCUCUCGGAGCAGCGUCCACCAGGGAGUGGAGAUGAGCCCGAGGGCCAAGAUCCCUCGGCCUCGCCCCACAGCACCCUUGAUGCCCCUGUGGAUGGCUCGGCUCAGGCCCACGUGGCAGAUGGGGCCGGCCCUCAGGACAGUGCUGGGCCCGAGGGGCCCCCGGACAGCGUCCAGCCUGAAUCCACCGAACCAGAACCUAAACCGACGGCUGAGGCCCCGAAGGCACCCAAAGUAGAGGAGAUCCCUCAGCGUAUGACCAGGACCCGGGCCCAGAUGCUGGCUAACCAGCACAAGCAGAGCUCACCACCCACUGAAAAGGAGCCCACGCCCACGCCCACCCCCAGGGCCAAGGGUCGUGGCUCUGAGGACGACGACCCCCAGGCCCAGCACCCACGCAAACGCCGCUUCCAGCGCUCCAGCCAGCAGCUGGCUCAGCAGAUGCACACAUCCACGCGGCAAACACGCGAGGUGAUCCAGCAGACGCUGGCCGCCAUCGUGGACGCCAUCAAGCUGGACGCCAUUGAGCCUUACCACAGCGACAGGUCCAACCCAUACUUCGAGUAUCUGCAGAUCCGGAAGAAGAUUGAGGAGAAGCGCAAAAUCCUGUGCUACAUCAGCCCGCAGGCGCCGCAGUGCUACGCCGAGUACGUCACCUACACCGGCUCCUACCUCCUGGAUGGCAAGCCACUCAGCAAGCUGCACAUCCCCGUGAUCGCGCCCCCACCCUCGCUGGCAGAGCCCCUGAAGGAGCUGUUCAAGCAGCAGGAGGCCGUGCGGGGGAAGCUCCGCCUGCAGCACAGCAUCGAGCGGGAGAAGCUGAUCGUCUCUUGCGAGCAGGAGAUACUGCGGGUCCACUGCCGGGCAGCGAGGACCAUCGCGAACCAGGCGGUGCCGUUCAGCGCCUGCACCAUGCUGCUGGACUCAGAGGUGUACAACAUGCCGCUGGAGAGCCAGGGUGAUGAGAACAAGUCAGUGCGGGACAGGUUCAACGCCCGCCAGUUUAUAUCCUGGCUGCAGGAUGUGGACGACAAGUACGACCGCAUGAAGACGUGUCUCCUGAUGCGGCAGCAGCACGAGGCGGCGGCUCUCAACGCCGUGCAGAGGAUGGAGUGGCAGCUGAAAGUCCAGGAGCUGGACCCCGCCGGGCACAAGUCCUUGUGCGUGAAUGAGGUGCCGUCCUUCUACGUGCCCAUGGUCGACGUCAACGACGACUUUGUGCUCCUGCCGGCCUGAUGCACAGGGACAGCUGCACAGGACACAGGCGAGCCCCCCUGACGUCUGCUG
rnacentral:lncRNA from 1 species